ensembl:lncRNA
GGAGGGGAAGAGAGAGAGAGGGGAGAGAGGGAGGAGGGGAAGAGAGAGAGACAGGUGGAGAGAGGGAGGAGGGGAAGAGAGAGACAGGUGGAGAGAGGGAGGAGGGGAAGAGAGAGAGACAGGUGGAGAGAGGGAGGAGGGGAAGAGAGAGCGAGACAGGUGGAGAGAGACAGGAGGAGGAGAAGAGAGAGAGACAGGUGGAGAGAGGGGGAGGAGAAGAGAGAGAGACAGGUGGAGAGAGGAGGAGAAGAGAGAGAGACAGGUGGAGAGAGGAGGAGGAGAAGAGAGAGAGACAGGUGGAGAGAGGGGGAGGAGAAGAGAGAGAGACAGGUGGAGAGAGGAGGAGAAGAGAGAGAGACAGGUGGAGAGAGGGGGAGGAGAAGAGAGAGAGACAG